UUGAGAGCCCUGGAGACUGAACUCUCUCUUUAUCCACAGAAUAGGAGAGACCCAGCAAGCAGCAGUGCGAGCUUCCUGUAGCCACUGCCCCAACCCUGAUGCACAAGGGUGAGAUGGUAAAUCAUAUGGGCACUUGUCCACCAGGAGCUAGACUGAGAUCCAUCAGUCCAUGUCACAGAAGCUAGCAAUA
rnacentral:sRNA from 1 species